GAUCAUGGCUCAGAUUGAACGCUGGCGGCAGGCUUAACACAUGCAAGUCGAACGGUAACAUAAAGAAGCUUGCUUCUUUGAUGACGAGUGGCGGACGGGUGAGUAAUGCUUGGGAAUCUAGCUUAUGGAGGGGGAUAACUACGGGAAACUGUAGCUAAUACCGCGUAGUAUCGAGAGAUGAAAGUGUGGGACCUUCGGGCCACAUGCCAUAGGAUGAAGCCCAAGUGGGAUUAGGUAGG
rnacentral:rRNA from 1 species